UUGACAUAGAACCUAGAGAUCAACCUGAUUCUAGGCAUGUUCAAGAGGAGCAUCAUACAGACACUCAAGAUGAGAGUGAUGAUGGGCUUGAACAAGAGGCGGUUCAGCAAGAGAAUAUACAGGCACAGCAACAACAGUAGCUUGCAGAUAACUUGGCUUCCUCUAGGCCACGCCGUACUUACAAGCAAGUUCUAAAGUUGGGGUUAGACGAGCCUUUGAGGCACUAUGGGCAGACAAAUUUG
rnacentral:lncRNA from 1 species